GGCGCAGAAGGCCUGAACUGCAGCUGCAGCGUGAUCGUCUGCCGCUGAAUGCUCCUGUGACCCAGCAGCCGUGGGAGCGCGUCCGGAUCGAUGGCCUCGCUGACCGAGCUUGAAGUGUGGACGAUCAUGUUCUCCAUUCUGGUGUUCGCCCUCUUCACGCUCAUCGGGAUGAUCAACGAGGAGUGUCCACGCUCAGAAGAAACUGACGACAAACCCAAAAGCGCAGAGAUGCUGGUGUGACCCUGUGAACUCCUUCCUGUGAGUAAAACUCAACGUGCCGCCUGGUGUGUGGCCGUGGCUUUUUAUCAGUUCAUAAAACAACGUCUGCCGGGCUGACCUCUGAAUGCGUGUUUGUUCGCGGACCUCGCGUAACUUGCUCCCAGGAUGAGGCACAAAGGAGUGGCUUACAUUGUGCAAGCAGAAAAAGCGAUAAAGAGACACCUGCUCCAACAAAGUGGCUCAUGACAGCAUCGCCUGCCUGCUCGCCUUACGGAUGUCAAGAGGGAACAAGGAAAGCUUCCUCAAUCUGGGGAACAGCCCGCAAACUUCUU